UCUCGGCCUGCACAAGCGGUGGAGUAUGUGGCUUAAUUCGACGCAACGCGAAGAACCUUACCUGGCCUUGACAUGCAUGUGGUAGAACCAUGAAAGUGGGACGACCCCGCAAGGGGAGCAUGCACAGGUGCUGCAUGGCUGUCGUCAGCUCGUGUCGUGAGAUGUUGGGUUAAGUCCCGCGACGAGCGCAACCCCUAUGUUCUGUUGCCACCCGGUCGAGAGACUGGAGCACUCUGGACAGACUGCCUCGCUUAAACGGGGAGGAAGGUGGGGAUGACGUCAGUGCUUGCCU
rnacentral:misc_RNA from 1 species